GCCUGGGUGGCUCAGUUGGUUGAGCGUCCGACUUCAGCUCAGGUCACGAUCUCGCGGUCCGUGAGUUCGAGCCCCGCGUCAGGCU
rfam:Felis catus isolate Cinnamon breed Abyssinian chromosome A1, whole genome shotgun sequence.